rnacentral:misc_RNA from 1 species
AUUACCGUCCUAUCUCUCUUUGCUCCAAAUCUCUCUCUCUUAAUUAUUAAAACCAAAGCCCACACCUUUAUUUUUUACGCCCGAUUCAAUCCCAAUCAUUGUCCCAUUAAGAAAUUUAAGGAGAAGAGAAUAUGUGAGAUUUGAUUGCCUUAUUAAUAGUCUCUGUAUUAUUCAAAACCAUCAUCUUAACGUUCAGAUUUCUCUUCCUCAUUUGUCGACUUUUAUUGCCUCUCGUUUGUAUUCGGAUUCUCAAUCGGAAUAACCACCACCACUAUAAAGCUCUAUGAACCGAAUUUUGGUGAUUUAAAAUUCUGGGUUUUUAAAUUCAAGCGGAAAUGCCCAGAA